rnacentral:sRNA from 1 species
GAAAUUUUUCAUUUUCUCAAUCUGUUUGUCAGAGCACAGCAAGUUCAAAUCAUUAGCAGGACAUGUAAAAACACACCCUCUACAUUCUACAACCAGGUUUUGGAAAAGAGAUCUGCAAUAAAGGUUUUUAGACUGUUCACAACUGCAACAUGUUCAUAGUUAUGGUUGUCUCUUACAAGGUUUAGGGUGCAACCAAAUCAGAAAAUCAAGUUGUUGUCAUCUGAUAUAACGUUGAGCGGCCCUAUUCGACGUUGAAC